rnacentral:tRNA from 1 species
GCCGGGAUGGCGGAAUUGGCAGACGCAAACGACUCAAGAUCGUUCGACCGCAAGGUCAUGAGAGUUCAAGUCUCUCUCCCGGCACAA